rnacentral:misc_RNA from 1 species
CAUCAGACAGAACAAGGACUUUGCCAUGUAGAUAUGUCAGUGAUAAGAUCUCGUAAUUGAUCAAUGAGAAGCUUGAGAUGUGCAUUCUUGUUCACAAGUUCCUUUCUUAAAUUGGAGGCUUGUUUUUCUAAUUUCUCAACCUCCGCUUGAUCUGCUGGAGCUGAUGAACUGUUUGCAGUUGAACCAGUUUCAAAUGCUUUUGCCUGUUUGAGGACAAAGAAACCAUUGAUAAUUCUGCAAAUAGUGCAACAAUAUUGCAAUUUACUUCACAAAUUUGCAAGACAGGGCUAAUUACAUAGAUGAAUGGUAUAGAAGCAUAAGUUGUACAGCCACAUAAUAAUGAGCGGCUCCAAUCGAUGAUUCUGAUCCCUUUUGGUGGAUUCAUAGGAAGAUAUUUCGGGGAAAACUAUGUUUUGAGGUUGCGAAGUAGUAAAAUUGGGAAGGGAGGAUGAUUCUAUGUCCAAUCUGAACCUUAUAAAAGCUUUGUGAGUAGAUUUACAGGAACAAACAAAUUUCACAUUUUUCUAAUGUUUAUUAUCAUACAGUGUUGCCAUUACUAUCCAUGGUUCUGUUUUGGAAAACUAAUCCAUACAUUACUAUCAUGAAGCGAAAAUGAACUAAAUUCCAGUUUUACCUUUUGAGAAUUCUAAAUCCUACGUAGAGCAGCUCAGGAAUUGUUAUACCAAAACAGAGCCUCAUCCAAAUACCCAUGACCUGUAGUGUACCAACAGCAUUUCCACCACCCAAGUGAUAGAUAGCAUCAGACACAGCAUCGCCAUUGGCUACAACAUCGAUUUGAGAGAAAGAGAAUAAGGAUAUUACUAACCGCAGUAAUGGGUGAAGCUGUGGUGGUACUAGUAGUAAUAGAAGAAGAGGAGGACCACAAAGCAGGGUUACAGAGAUUGUCGUUCAUGAAAGAGAGGAUCGGUAAGCAGCUUGCUCGGAUGGUUUCUUCUAGAUGCUUCUGGCUUUCUAUUGCAAGAUCUUGCGUCGUCUUGGGAAGCAUUAUGGAACUCAUGAGGCU